rnacentral:rRNA from 1 species
GAUGAACGCUGGCGGCGUGCCUAAUACAUGCAAGUCGAGCGAGCAGACGAGGAGCUUGCUCCUCUGACGUUAGCGGCGGACGGGUGAGUAACACGUGGAUAACCUACCUAUAAGACUGGGAUAACUUCGGGAAACCGGAGCUAAUACCGGAUAAUAUAUUGAACCGCAUGGUUCAAUAGUGAAAGACGGUUUUGCUGUCACUUAUAGAUGGAUCCGCGCCGCAUUAGCUAGUUGGUAAGGUAACGGCUUACCAAGGCAACGAUGCGUAGCCGACCUGAGAGGGUGAUCGGCCACACUGGAACUGAGAUACGGUCCAGACUCCUACGGGAGGCAGCAGUAGGGAAUCUUCCGCAAUGGGCGAAAGCCUGACGGAGCAACGCCGCGUGAGUGAUGAAGGUCUUCGGAUCGUAAAACUCUGUUAUUAGGGAAGAACAAAUGUGUAAGUAACUAUGCACGUCUUGACGGUACCUAAUCAGAAAGCCACGGCUAACUACGUG